rnacentral:rRNA from 1 species
GAUGAACGCUAGCGGCAGGCUUAACACAUGCAAGUCGAGGGGUAACAUGAGUGCUUGCACUUGAUGACGACCGGCGCACGGGUGCGUAACGCGUAUACAAUCUGCCUUUUGCUGUGGGAUAGCCCAGAGAAAUUUGGAUUAAUACCACAUAGUAUAUAAGAGUGGCAUCACUAUUAUAUUAAAGGUUACGGCAAAAGAUGAGUAUGCGUUCUAUUAGCUAGAUGGUGUGGUAACGGCACACCAUGGCAACGAUAGAUAGGGGCCCUGAGAGGGGGAUCCCCCACACUGGUACUGAGACACGGACCAG